rfam:Triticum aestivum genome assembly, contig: Triticum_aestivum_CS42_TGACv1_scaffold_321666_4BL
AGACCACCUCCCGUUCGAAAAUACUUGUCAUCAAAAUGGAUAAAAAAAGAUAUAUCUAAAACUAAAAUACAUCUAGAUACAUAUCUUUUUAUUCUUUUUUAUGACAAGUAUUUUCGAACGAAGGGAGUAGUUU